rnacentral:rRNA from 1 species
GACGAACGCUGGCGGCGUGCUUAACACAUGCAAGUCGAACGGAAAGGCCCUGCUUUUGUGGUGUGCUCGAUUGGCGAACGGGUGAGUAACACGUGUGUAACCUGCCCUUGACUUUGGGAUAACUUCAGGAAACUGGGGCUAAUACCGUAUAGGAUCUCCUGCUGCAUUGUGGGGGUUGGAAAGUCUCGGCGGUUGGGGAUGGACGCGCGGCUUAUCAGCUUGCUGGUUGGGUAGUGGCUUACCAAGGCUUUGACGGGUAGCCGGCCUGUGAGGGUGAACGGCCACAUUGGGCCUGAGAUACGGCCCAGACUCCUACGGGAGGCAGCAGUGGGGAAUAUUGCACAAUGGGCGGAAGCCUGAUGCAGAAACGCCGCGUGCGGGAUGACGGCCUGUGGGUUGUAAACCGCUUUCGCCUGUGACGAAGCGUGAGUGACGGUAAUGGGUAAAGAAGCACCGGCUAACUACGUG